rnacentral:rRNA from 1 species
CCUACGGGUGGCAGCAGUGAGGAAUAUUGGUCAAUGGGCGAGAGCCUGAACCAGCCAAGUCGCGUGAAGGAUGACGGCCCUACGGGUUGUAAACUUCUUUUGUCAGGGAGCAAUUUAGUCCUCGUGUGGUCUUAGCGAGAGUACCUGAAGAAAAAGCAUCGGCUACCUCCGUGCCAGCAGCCGGGGUAAUACGGAGGAUGCGAGCGUGAUCCGGAUUUAUUGGGUUUAAAGGGUUCGUAGGCGGAAUAUAAAGUCAGCGGUAAAAAUUCGGGGCUCAACCCCGUCGUGCCGAUGAAACUGAUGUUCUUGAGUGGGCGAGAGGUAUGCGGAAUGCGUGGUGUAGCGGUGAAAUGCAUAGAUAUCGCGCAGAACUCCGAUUGCGAAGGCAGCAUACCGGCGCCCAACUGACGCUGAAGCACGAAAGCGUGGGUAUCGAACAGGAUUAGAUACCCCAGUAGUC